UCAAUGGACAUGAGUUUUGGUGAACUCCGGGAGCUGGUGAUGGACAGGGAGGCCUUGCGUGCUACAGUCCAUGGGGUCACAAAGAAUCGGACACGACUGAGCGACUGAACUGAACAUGUCAGUUGGUUAGUUCAGGACCCAAAAGAGAUCGGCAGAAAACAACAGCCUCAGGAAUAUGUCCUUUUAGGACUUAGAGGAGGAAUAGAAAUCAAUGCAAGCAGAAGAAACAAUAGGAGAGAUAGAUAGUAGGGAAAUAUGGGGAAGUUCUCUAUCAUGGAAAAGAGGAGACCAGAGAGACCAGGGGCUGCAGACGAGCUGAAACAAAUGCGGUCUCAGGAAAAACUGUUGACUUUGAGGAUUAAGAAGCCAUCGGAGGGCAUGUUUAUAGAAGGAUGGUUAGAAAAACCAGAUUCCUUCUUUAAAGCUCGGGGCCCAAGAAUAUAUGAAGCUCAUUUGUACAGCAUCCAGCAAAACUUCUGGUGCAUUACAGGCUAUAAAUAAAUGCACUUUGAUGCAUUUUAUAAAUUGAAAGUACUUUGGGGAUUACUUGACUGUGUCUAAAGAAACUGGGUCAUUUACUGAUCUUCAAAACUGUGUGGAGGCUGGAGCUACUUAAUCUACGAUGAGAGGAAGAGGAUAUUGGAGUGGUGGGGAUUGUAUAUGGGGCAAGCAUCUUGGCCUACUUAAUUGAAUUGUCAUCCACCGAUGAAGGAGUUAUGCCCAUCUCGAUUCAGGGAUGUGUGUAUGCCUCAAGUUGCCCUUUGAUUUGCAGAUGCGGCUGCUACAGUCUAGUCUCAUUUGCUUCAUGGCUCAGUCCUAGCCCUUGCCUGCAACAAUAAUUUUGUCUUCGGCAUUCUGUGUUGGUCUCUAUGUGCCCCAACUGUGGUGAUGCUUUUCUGUAGUUCGAUGUCCUGAGAGUUAUGCAUGAAAGGCCUUCAAAAUAUUUCUCCACUUCAUGGUUACCUGCCUCUUUUGGGAGAAUGGGGGGAUGGGAUAUUGGAGGAAGAAGGAGAAAUUAAACUUAAAGAAUGCCCACUAUUUUAUUUUUUAAUUAAAAAAAAUUAAAAAAAAUUUUUUUUUGGCCACACUGUGAGGAGCAGGUUAUCACUAGACUGCCAGGGAAGUCCCAAAUGCCCAUUAUUUUAAAAACUCAUUUAGCAACUAUUUAUUGGGGAUCUCUAGUUGCCAGGCCUUUCACAUGCUGUAUCAUUCUUCCAAAAACUUUCUGAGAAGUUGUCAUCCUAUUUACAGAUAAGCUCUUCUGUGUUCACUCAUUGCCCUGCAGGUGAUUUCUAGAACUUUAUGACGGGUAGGGCUUUCUUUUUCUUUUUUAGCAUCACAUAUGUUUGAUUCAGAGUUGACCUACGAAUAACAAAGUUCUCCAAGGCUCUGGAUGUAAUAUCCUCAGUGAGCCCUAGAGCUAUGACUGGGAUUUGAGCUAUAAAUCUGGGAUUUGGACAUCAUCUAGAGACCAAACCAAAAGCAGGACCAAUCUCCUUGUGGAUCUGGCUUCCAGUCGAGGGCUCCAGUUGUUUCUAUACCUGGUUUCUUGAUGUAGGAAUAUAGGACUUGGAACACUGGGUCACACUGUCACCCGUUUUGCAUUCAUUCAUUCAACAAAAAUGUGAUAAACUCUCACUCUGCUGAACACCGGGAUUGCAGAAUUAAAUAAUCUUUUGUCCUUGCCCUCAAGGAGUUUGUUCAUUGCAGAGCAAGCCGAAGAUCAGAAAGUAGGUCAUUCUCAGCCAAGUCAACAUCAGUGAUCAAAUGCCUAGUACUACUUUGUUGUGUAAGCUGUGGUUUCUGUGCAAUUAUGUUCUGUGGCUAUCCUUAUAAUAUUUCCUCCGUUUAUUUCAUAUGACAUCACCUCCCAUGAGGUGUAAGUGCCUUGAGAGCUGGGACUCUGUCUCAUAUGACUUUGUAUCUGCACCAACUGGCACACUCUCUGGCAUAUAACCUGUGUUCAUCAGAUGCUCGUUGAAUUGAUUGAUAAGGUAUAAGGACUUUUUGUCCUGUAUAUCAAACAUGAGGCUCUAAGACUGACUUAGUAAAUUUAGAACAUGCUACAAUUAAGAUUUUCUAAAUGUUAGUCUUAUAAAAUAAUUUUCUCAUUUCAUUUUUGACCUUUAGUGUGCAGAGUUGAAUUUAGUAUACUUCUUGAGUUGUGUUUCACCAAAAUCAUUAUUCUGUGCAAGGCCCCUCUCUUUGUUCUAUUUUGUUUUUUCCCCUCUUACUUUUCUCAUUUCCUGUGCCUGCCCCCUGACACCCACUCUGGCUUGUUGUUUGAGUCCUUAGAUAUGCAUGUAUUAAUAUUUUUGAUGAGUAAAUAGUGUCUAGAUUAUGCAUGUGUGGUACUUAAUUCCCAGCAUUUAGAGAUUUUCUAUUAUUGAUUAAAGAAUGGUAAGAUUUCAAUCCUUUCAGCUUUACUAAGGCUUGCUUUUUGAACUAGCGUUAUUUUGCUAAAUUUCCCAUGUAUAUUUCAAGAGUAUGUAUUCUGCAGCUGUUGGAUUCAGUGUUUAAUAGUUCUCAAUUAGGUCAAGUUUAUUAAUUGUGUCAUUCAUAUUUUGAAUAUUUUUAUUGAUUUUGUCUGCUUGAAGAAAUGUUUUACAAUCUACAAUGAUUAUGAAAUUCUAUUUUUUUUUUCCUUUUGCUUUAUAUAUUUUGAGACUAUGAUGUUACGUGCUUAGAAAUUUAGAAUUGCUGUAUCUUCCUAGGAGGUGGAAGCUUUUAUGAUCAUGAAAUAACUCUAUUUCUCUAAGUGCUUCUAAAUCUAUAUUCUCUAAUAUUGAUGUAGCUACAUUAGUUUUCUUGGGGUUAGUGUUUGCAUAGUAUGUAUUUUUCAUCAUUUUACUCUUAACACUUCUAUUUCUAUAUAUUUAAAGUGAGUCUUUUGUAAGCAGCCUGUAAUUGGGCUUUGUUUUGAUUUCUCAGUAUUUCAAUUGAAGUGUUUAGUCAUCUUGCAUUUAAUAUAAUUGCAAUAUACUUGAGAUAAGAAAUAUCAUCUUCCCAUUUACUUUCAGUGUGUUUUACCUUUUCUGUGUUUCUUAUCUCUCUUUGUUUGCCUUCUCUUUCAUAGAAGUUCUUUUUAAAGAAAAUAUUCCUUUCUUCUGUUAGCUUAUACAUGCUUUUACUAAAUCAAUGCUUACUCUGGAGAUAGCAACAUUCUUGACUAUGUAAAAUCUAACCUAAGUUCAUAUUGUUACCAUUACCUAGACACAAUAAACCUCAGAAUAUUUUAACUCCCAUUAACCCCACUUUCAACUUAUUUACUAUAUGUCAUGUAUUUUAAUUUUAUAUGUAUUUUAAACCCCAAAAGACCAUUACAUAAUGUUGUCAUUGUUUAUUUAGAUAGUUAUGUUUGUUAUGGUUUAUGUAAAUUGUGUUUAUAGAUUUACCAUUUGUGCUGCUUUUUAUUCUUCCCUGCCUUUCUAAACUUUUACCUAGGAUCAUUUUCCUUUGGUCUAAAGAGAAGAUUUUAGUAUUCUCAUUAGAUUUGAUGUGCUGCUAAUAUUCUCAGUUUUUGUUUGAAAAUAUGUUUACUUAAAGCUUUACUUUUGAGGGAUUUUUGCUGAAUAUAGAAUUCUAGAUUGGGAGUUCUUUUCUUUCAGUAACUUUGAAGAUACUAUUUCAAAGUCUUCAGGAUUCCAUUGUCUUCUGGAUUCCAUUGUUUCUACUGAGAAGUAUUGUGUCAACAGUUUAUUCUCUUCCUCUGGCUGAUUUUAAGAUAUGUCUUUGGUUUUUAAGUAGUUUCACUAUGUGCAAAGAUGUAAUUUUCUUUGGUAUUUGUUUCUGGUAUUUAUAGUACUUACUGAGAGAUUACCUUGAUAUCUUGUGCCACUUCUGGGGAAUUCUCAGCUAUUCUCAUCUUCCCUGGGAUUCUAUCUACACUUAGGUCAUUUUCUUGUACAGGUUUCCUACACAUCUAUACUUCUCUACAUUCUUCUCUAUUUUCUUCCUUUUGCCCUUUCUUGCUUCGGCUUGGAUAUUUUCUUCUAAUAUCAUCUAGUCCACAAAUUCUCUUUUGAGAUAAUUUCAGUUAUUGAACUUUUCAUUUCAUUUGAUUCUUUUAAAAAUAAAGCUUCCAAGUUUCUGGCUGAGCUCUUGGCCCACAUUCUCUCUCUCUCUUUUAAGCUCUGAAAACAUACUAAGCAUAGUUAUUCUAAAGUCAGUGCUUGAUAACUCCAUUAUCUGAAUUUCCUCUUGGCCAGUUUCUAUUUUUCAGUUUAGUUCAUUGGCAAGCCCUUGAUGUAGGCAGGGCUGGCCUGAGAGACGCUGUUUCUGUCUAGAUGAGAAUUCUGUGUUCUUCAUUUGCACUUAAUGUCCUGGUCCAGAUGCAGACAGGGAGUUGGUAAGCUUCCUAGAGGAGCCCCAACUCUGUCAGAUUUAACAGUGCCUAAGAAGCACUAGGAACAGGAAUUUAAAAAUUCUUAUUAAGUGCUAUAGUUGGUGAGCAAAGCUGCAAGUUAUAUAUAGAAUCAUGAGUGAGGUGAUUUUAAGAAAGUCUUUUAUCUGCCCUUGAUAUCCUAUUUUAGGUCUAUAACAAUAACAAUGACAACUAGCAUUUAUAAGAACUGAAUUUGUACCAGAUAAUGUGCUAAGUGUUUGUCUGCACUAUCUCUUUAAGGUACACAAAAGUCAUGAGCUAGUCACAGUUAUUAAUCCUAUUAGAUGUACAUCCAAGAAUUAGUCCAAUUAUGACUUGUUCUGGGGCCACACGGAAGCAAGUGGCCAAGUUAAUCUGACUGCCUCGGGAUACCUGUGCUGAACAGCUAUCCGUAUUGUGGCUUAGACUUUAGACCCUUUUGUUUUGAAGAGUAAACUUUUAGUAUUCUCCGUGAGAAGACGGUGCUCUUAUACCUUUUCUGAGCUGCUUACUUAAUGGGCCUUUAUUAGCAUAAGCAUCUGGUUCUUGAGGGAUUUAGUGUUAAAAAAGCAGUGAAGGUAAUGGAGAGGGAGAGACAUUUAACAGGCUUCCUUUCUUCUGCGGCCACUAUUGGCAUUUUGCUCCUGGGCCUGUUUCAUUUUCCCUUGGCAAUGAGCUCGAAUACAUCAGUGGGGACGGACUCCGCCAAAGUGCAGCUACCCCAGAUUUACCUUCAUGGACUCCCGGGAUAUCUCGAGGAAGCUGGCGGGACCAUUCCAUGCAUUUUCUCUUUGAACUGAGAAGUUAUAUUUUGUCCAAAUGAGAUGGCACAGUUGCUGGAGGCAGAAUGGGGCUGAAUGAGUGAGUUGGGAUAUUGAGAAGUUUAUUCUGUAAAGCUGGCCCUAAACCUGAAGUGACCCCUCCUGACCCCUGGUGCUUACUUGGGAACAUUUGAAGGACGCUCCUUUCAGGGCCUGAACCCAGGCAUGAGAACAGAGGAAAAGAGAAAAUAAACCCCAAUUUUAUCACCUAAGACCUGGAACUCAGAAAAACUUUGACUCCAGUUUGGGAUGAAGUCAGAAUGGAUUCUUUUGCUCAUAUCUGCACAACCUUCGCCUUUCAAAGCAGAGAAGGGGAAAAAGUCCAUUUGUAUCUUUUUUUUUUAGAUUCUGCAAAUAAACGUUGUCAUGUGUUA